rnacentral:rRNA from 1 species
UACGAAGGGUGCAAGCGUUACUCGGAAUUACUGGGCGUAAAGCGUGCGUAGGUGGUUCGUUAAGUCUGAUGUGAAAGCCCUGGGCUCAACUUGGGGAAUGGCAUUGGAAACUGGCGACCUAGAGUGCGGUAGAGGGUAGUGGAAUUCCCGGUGUAGCAGUGAAAUGCGUAGAGAUCGGGAGGAACAUCCGUGGCGAAGGCGACUACCUGGACCAGCACUGACACUGAGGCACGAAAGCGUGGGGAGCGAACGGGG